UACAGAGGUCCCAAGCGUUGUUCGGAUUCAUUGGGCGUAAAGGGUGCGUAGGCGGCGCGGUAAGUCGGGUGUGAAAUCUCGGAGCUUAACUCCGAAACUGCAUUCGAUACUGCCGUGCUUGAGGACUGGAGAGGAGACUGGAAUUCCGAGUGUAGAGGUGAAAUUCGUAGAUAUUCGGAAGAACACCAGUGGCGAAGGCGGCUCACUGGACUGGUAUUGACGCUGAGGUGCGAAAGCGUGGGGAGCAAACAGG
rnacentral:rRNA from 1 species